rnacentral:lncRNA from 1 species
AAUAUUUUAAAGUACUUUCUCAUCUAUGAUGGCCUUUCACUCCAGAGAUGACUUUACAAGUCAGAUAAGAGGGUAACAGACUUAGAGAAAUUAAAUUAUUGAAGUUACCGAGUUGUGUUUGGUUGGCUUUCUAAUUAGAGCAGAACCUGGUGGUGGAACCCGAAUCUUUGGAACUUGUAGCUUUGAGUAUUCUUCACUACGUGAUUGCAUUACUCUGUUGUACAGGGGCCCAUCAAUGUUCACCUUCUCCCUUUUUAAGGACCGAGUAAUUUGAAAGAAGACAAGAAUCAAUAUACUUCGUAUGAGCUACAAAGGAUAAAGGCAAUGUGAUGCUUUAAGCCGUCUCAAAGGUGCACAUUUUAAAAAUUAUUUUUAAAAUUUCAUGUAAAUCCUUUCCUUCUAAUACGGCAUUAUGAGAUCUUUUUCCACCUUGAGCUUUUCUCCAAACACAUGUAAUUGCUCCCUCUAUUAUUUGAAAGUGGUUUAGAGAGAAUGCUUUAGACGAGAUGUGAUAAAUCACAUUGCCUCUGCAUACUUCACCC